rnacentral:sRNA from 1 species
GCUGCCAACUGCCACUCCAAGGAGAACAGAAAUGGUUCCGUUAUUAGUGGCUGCUGUGGGACCACGACAGUCUGUGGGAGAGAAGACACGGUUCAAUGUGUAGACCUUCUCCCUCUCCAGUGUCUCCAGCCUCCAAUCCCAGGACAUCACUAGUACAGGUGAAAACAAAAGCCUGUCUCAGCGGCCAUCACUCUGCCAGCAGCACCUCAAAGCCAUUCAAAACGCCCAAAGACAAUCUACUUACCUCCAGCAGCAAACAGCACACAGUCUUUCCUGCGAAAGGAUCAAGGGAUAAACCAUGUGUUCCGGUUCCUGUAGUCAGUUUAGAGAAAAUUCCUAACCUAGUGAAGGCAGAUGGUGCCAAUGUCAAAAUGAACUCCACAACCACUACUGCAGUUUCUGCCUCCUCCACCUCAUCCUCUGCCGUCUCCACCCCUCCUUUAAUUAAGCCUGUCCUGAUGUCCAAGUCAGUGCCACCUUCACCAGAGAAGAUCUUAAAUGGCAAAGGAAUUCUGCCAACCACCAUAGACAAGAAACACCAAAAUGGCACCAAAAACAGCAACAAGCCUUACAGGAGACUUUCAGAGAGAGAAUUUGACCCAAAUAAACACUGUGGAGUAUUGGAUCCCGAGACAAAGAAACCUUGCACAAGAUCCCUCACCUGCAAGACACAUUCACUAAGCCAUCGGAGGGCAGUCCCAGGCCGGAAAAAGCAAUUUGACCUCCUCCUGGCAGAACAUAAAGCCAAGUCCCGGGAAAAAGAAGUUAAAGAUAAAGAGCAUCUCCUGACUUCCACGAGGGAAAUACUUCCAAGCCAAUCCGGGCCGGCACAGGAUUCUCUGCCAGGGUCUUCAGGGAGCUCUGGGCCAGAACCGAAAGUUGCAUCCCCUGCAAAAUCCAGACCACCUAACUCUGUACUUCCUAGUUUUGCUCAUUUGGGAGUCGCCUCAUGGGACGAGGGUACUAUGUGUUUGAUAGAAGAUGGGAUCGUUUUCGAUUCGCACUAAACUCCAU